rnacentral:misc_RNA from 1 species
GGAACCUGCUGCAUUGCACUCACCGGUGAAGUUUGAAGAAUGGGUUGUGUUUUGAGAAGAUGUUGAGCUCAAAAAGGGUAAUAUUUACUCUAAGUUGCCCUCAUAUGUCCAUAAACUUGCUGUACAGUAGCCUUGUAUGCUUUAAUAAGUAUUUGUGGCUAUGUUCCCUAUUGCCUGUGAUCCUAUGAAUUCAUGUGAGGCAAUUGUUACAUUGAGUACCUUCAAUUCAAUACUUUGAAGUUGUGUUGAUGUU